rnacentral:rRNA from 1 species
UACGUAGGGUGCAAGCGUUGUCCGGAAUUAUUGGGCGUAAAGAGCUCGUAGGCGGUGUGUCGCGUCUGCUGUGAAAACUCAGGGCUCAACUCUGAGCUUGCAGUGGGUACGGGCACACUUGAGUGCUGGUAGGGGAGACUGGAAUUCCCGGUGUAGUGGUGAAAUGCGUAGAGCUCGGGAGGAACACCUGUGGCGAAGGCGGCCCCCUGGGCCGGCCC